rnacentral:lncRNA from 1 species
CACCAUCAAUCGUGCCAAGACACACAAGCGACAGCCCCGGGGAAGCCAGUCUCUGCUCUAAUUACCUGCUGCGCACGGUGGCUGGCGGUGGGGGCCGGGCGUGGCCAGAUAUGCACACAGUCCAGGUCAUCACUGCUAACCCCACGGUCACAGCGCCCCACGCCCCGGGCUCAGGCCACGGUGUGACAUCACCCAGCACGAACAACAGUGGAAGUUUCCACACCAACCUCGGCCUGGCUCCUCCCACAGCCCCUGCCACCCCAGGACAAGGUGAUCUGCACUCGACAUAGGAUGUCAAAGGCUUUUCCCCCCACCGGGGAUGAAGCUCAGAGCCAAAGUGACAUCUGCUUGUCUAGCUCUGAGCGCACAAAGGAUGUUAACUAUGUAACAAAUCCUCACCGGCCUGGUGCAGACGUUGUAACAGAUUUGUAGCUGCAGGAACCAAAUGCCGGCUCCGAUGUCUUUACUAAGAGCGACCUCGAGUGACCUCAUGUUUGGCCGGAGAGAGCUACUGCCUCUUGGUCACCUGCGGGCCCUUCCGAGAACGUCACCGGGGAAUGCUCAUUUCGCCAAGACCCGCAGAGGAAAGCCCAACUUUGGAAACUUUGAAGGAAAAAGGUUGGUUUUCAAAAUGCCCCAAGGACAUCGUCAUGACUGUGUUGGAAUGGAAACUCCCACUUCUGAAAUGACAGCUCUCUCCGCCUGACCUUCUCGUCAGUUAGGUUUGAGUGCAUGGGGCAAAUUUGCACGCAGAGCACAAAGGGGUUAGACACGAAAACCCCACGGCCAGCAUGGUCACCUCCACCUCGGCCUCGUUGGGCCCAGCUCCUGCGCCCGCCAGAGAGCACAGGGGGCCAGAGCAAAGGGUUAACCUGCAUUUCCUUGUCAGUCCAGGAAGACCAUGGUGCAAGGAAGUCCUCUGAGCAGUGCUCUCAGAAGCCGCUGUGCAGCAGUGGUGGGGGCGGAUCCCAUGGACCAUCUUGGCAGCACUCAGGAACCCGGAGCCGGGUGGUCUCUGAGAGUCGGCUGUGGGUUGUGCCUGCUGGGCACCCUUGUACCUGCUAUUGGAAGGGUGUGAGGCGGGAGCUCGUUGCUACGCAACUGUCUGACCGUGACAGCCACAUGCUGCGUCCCUCCGCACUGGACCGCGCGCUCCUCAAGUGCAGGAAGCCGACUUCCCCAACGUGGGAUCGGCCAGGACCACUCAUGGGUGGGCUGGCAUGCCCAGGAAGUGCCCGGGGCGUGGAUGGAUGGGACAGGCUGGCCCAGGUGUUUUGGAGGGCAGGAGGCUCACUGCACAGUCCUGCCUGGCUGCUCUCUCUCCUGAAAUUCAGGGCUCUGUUGACCCUGGAGAAGAUUCACCGGGGACAACGGUGGCUUCAGCUGUGGACAGCCCCGUGCCGACACUGGAGAACUGUCACCUUCCACUUCCCAGGAGCACAGGUUGGAAAGCGCUGGGAGUGCUGCCUGCUUGCUCUCCGGUUCCCCCUCAGGCUGGCUCAGUUAGCUCAUCUGAACCAACAACACCGAGACCCGAAGGCAGCCACUCCCGCCCAGGGCCUCAGUGCCGGCCGAGGAAUCCGGAGGCUCCAGGCUCCAAGGUCCCUGCGAGGAGCUUCCUACUGGGCGUUACCUCCCGAGGGACCCACACACCUGCACUGCGGGCAGGUGCAGGUGAGCCUACAGGCGGUGGCCGGGCACGCUGGGUGGGGUGCAGACGGGAAGCUGUGUGCUUCUCAGCCUUGUGCUGGGUAUGCACCUGUCCAGGUUCCAACCCAGCUCCCUGCUGUGGCCUGGGAAAAGCAGCGGAAGACGCCCAAGUCCCUGGGCCCCGCCACCCACAUGGGAGACCCGGAUGAAGUUCCUGGCUCCUGGCUGUGGCAGCCACUUGGGGAGUGA